rnacentral:rRNA from 1 species
GAUGAACGCUGGCGGCGUGCCUAAUACAUGCAAGUCGAGCGAACAGAUGAGGAGCUUGCUCCGCUGACGUUAGCCGCGGACGUGUGAGUCACACGUGGAUAACCUACCUAUAAGACUGGGAUAACUUCGAGAAACCGGAGCUAAUCGCGUAUAAUCUAUUGAACCGCAUUGUUCAAUAGUGAAAGACGGUUUUGCUGUCACUUAUAGCGGGAUCCGCGCCGCAUUAGCUAGUUGGUAAGGUAACGGCUUACUAAGGCAACGAUGCGUAGCCGACCUGAGAGGGUGAUCGGCCACCCUGGAACUGAGACACGGUCCAGACUACUACGGGAGGCAGCAGAAGGGAACCUUACGCAAUGGGCGAAAGCAUGACAGAGUAGGGCGGCGUGAGUGAUAAAGGUCUUGGGAGCGUAAAACUCUGUUAUUAGGGAAAAACAAAUGUGUAAGUAACUAUGCACGUCUUGACGGUAACUAAUCAGAAAGCCACGGCUAACUACGUG